UGGGGAAUUUUGGACAAUGGGCGAAAGCCUGAUCCAGCAAUGCCGCGUGUGUGAAGAAGGCCUUCGGGUCGUAAAGCACUUUUGUCCGGAAAGAAAUCCUUGGCUCUAAUACAGUCGGGGGAUGACGGUACUGGAAGAAUAAGCACCGGCUAACUACGUGCCAGCAGCCGCGGUAAUACGUAGGGUGCAAGCGUUAAUCGGAAUUACUGGGCGUAAAGCGUGCGCAGGCGGUUUGCUAAGACCGAUGUGAAAUCCCCGGGCUCAACCUGGGAACUGCAUUCGUGACUGCAAGGCUAGAGUAUGGCAGAGGGGGGUAGAAUUCCACGUGUAGCAGUGAAAUGCGUAGAGAUGUGGAGGAAUACCGAUGGCGAAGGCAGCCCCCUGGGCCAAUACUGACGCUCAUGCACGAAAGCGUGGGGAGCAAACAGGAUUAGAUACCCUGGUAGUCCACGCCCUAAAACGAUGUCAACUAGUUGUUGGGGAUUCAUUUCCUUAGUAACGUAGCUAACGCGUGAAGUUGACCGCCUGGGGAGUACGGUCGCAAGAUUAAAACUUAAAGGAA
rnacentral:rRNA from 1 species